rnacentral:rRNA from 1 species
CCUACGGGAGGCAGCAGUGAGGAAUAUUGGUCAUUGGACGAGAGUCUGAACCAGCCAAGUAGCGUGAAGGAUGACUGCCCUAUGGGUUGUAAACUUCUUUUAUAUGGGAAUAAAAUGUUCCACGUGUGGGAUUUUGUAUGUACCAUAUGAAUAAGGAUCGGCUAACUCCGUGCCAGCAGCCGCGGUAAUACGGAGGAUCCGAGCGUUAUCCGGAUUUAUUGGGUUUAAAGGGAGCGUAGGUGGAUUGUUAAGUCAGUUGUGAAAGUUUGCGGCUCAACCAUAAAAUUGCAGUUGAAACUGGCAGUCUUGAGUACAGUAGAGGUGGGCGGAAUUCGUGGUGUAGCGGUGAAAUGCUUAGAUAUCACGAAGAACUCCGAUUGCGAAGGCAGUUCACUGGACUGCAACUGACACUGAGGCUCGAAAGUGUGGGUAUCAAACAGGAUUAGAUACCCUUGUAGUC